rnacentral:misc_RNA from 1 species
UACGGAGGAUCCAAGCGUUAACCGGAAUCAUUGGGCUUAAAGGGUCCGCAGGCGGUUAAACCAGUCAGUGGUGAAAGUCUGCAGCUUAACUGUAGAAUUGCCUUUGAUACUGUUGACCUUGAGUAAUUAUGAAGUGGUUAGAAUAUGUAGUGUAGCGGUGAAAUGCAUAGAUAUUACAUAGAAUACCGAUUGCGAAGGCAGAUCACUAAUAAAAUACUGACGCUGAUGGCCGAAAGCGUAGGUAGCGAACAGG